GAUUUCAACUGAAAAAGUCAUCAAUAAUAAAGUUGUAUAAAUUAUCAAGAUCUAUAACUUUUAUUUUGGCCAUUUAUUCAUCCGACAAUGUGAUUUGUAAGAUUGUUCACAAAAUGUAUAUAUGUCUUAUAUAGUUCAUAAAACUAUAAGAGAGAUGUACAUUUUGUGAACAAUCUUAUAAAUAACUUUGUUGGAUGAAGAAAUGACUAAAAUAGAAGUUAUAUAUCUUGAUGAGUUAUACAACUUUGUUGUUAAUGACUUUUUCAGCUGAAAUG
rnacentral:pre_miRNA from 1 species